UACGUAGGGGGCAAGCGUUGUCCGGAAUCAUUGGGCGUAAAGCGCGUGUAGGCGGCUAGGUAAGUCUGCUCUGAAAGCCCGGGGCUCAACCCCGGGAGGCGGGUGGAUACUGUCUAGCUCGAGUCCGGAAGAGGAGUGUGGAAUUCCUGGUGUAGCGGUGAAAUGCGCAGAUAUCAGGAGGAACACCAAUGGCGAAGGCAGCACUCUGGGACGUGACUGACGCUGAGGAGCGAAAGCGUGGGGAGCGAACAGG
rnacentral:rRNA from 1 species